CCUACGGGAGGCAGCAGUGAGGAAUAUUGGUCAAUGGACGCAAGUCUGAACCAGCCAUGCCGCGUGCAGGAAGACGGCUCUAUGAGUUGUAAACUGCUUUUGUACAAGGGUAAACCUGAAUACGUGUUUUGAGCUGAAAGUACUGUACGAAUAAGGAUCGGCUAACUCCGUGCCAGCAGCCGCGGUAAUACGGCGGAUCCAAGCGUUAUCCGGAUUUAUUGGGUUUAAAGGGUGCGUAGGCGGAUUGAUAAGUUAGAGGUGAAAUGUCCGGGCUUAACUCGGGAACUGCCUCUAAUACUGUUGUUCUUGAGAGUAGAUGCGGUAGGCGGAAUGUAUGGUGUAGCGGUGAAAUGCUUAGAGAUCAUACAGAACACCGAUUGCGAAGGCAGCUUACCAAUCUAUAUCUGACGUUGAUGCUCGAAAGUGUGGGUAUCAAACAGGAUUAGAUACCCCGGUAGUC
rnacentral:rRNA from 1 species